rnacentral:rRNA from 1 species
UACGUAGGGUGCGAGCGUUGUCCGGAAUUAUUGGGCGUAAAGGGCUCGUAGGCGGUCUGUUGCGUCAGGAGUGAAAAACUCGGGGCUUAACCCCGAGCCUGCUUCUGAUACGGGCAGACUAGAGGUAUGCAGGGGGAGAACGGAAUUCCUGGUGUAGCGGUGAAAUGCGCAGAUAUCAGGAGGAACACCGGUGGCGAAGGCGGUUCUCUGGGCAUUACCUGACGCUGAGGAGCGAAAGUGUGGGGAGCGAACAGG